CAGGCUACGUGGCCAAGGCAAGAUCUACUAAACAUGUACAUAUUUUAUGACCCAACAAUUCUAAUCCUGUGGCUACAUACGAUCCAGGUUAAAAGAACCCUAAAGAACAUUGGCCAUGUGCUUGACAUCCUCUAUGACAUCCAUGUGACGUGACGC